GAUGAAGAACGUAGCGAAAUGCGAUCAGUAAUGUGAAUUGCAGAAUUCAGUGAAUCAUCGAAUCUUUGAACGCACAUUGCGCCCGCCAGUAUUCUGGCGGGCAUGCCUGUUCGAGCGUCAUUUCAACCAUCAAGCCCCCGGCUUGUGUUGGGGACCUGCGGCUGCCGCAGGCCCUGAAAACCAGUGGCGGGCUCGCUAGUCACUCCGAGCGUAGUAAUACAUCUCGCUCAGGGCGUGCUGCGGGUUCCGGCCGUUAAAAAGCCUUAUUUACCCAAGGUUGACCUCGGAUCAGGUAGGAAGACCCGCUGAACUUAAGCAUAUCAAUAAGCGGAGGA
rnacentral:misc_RNA from 1 species